rnacentral:rRNA from 1 species
GAAGGUGGGACAGAUGAUUGGGGUGAAGUCGUAACAAGGUAGCCGUAUCGGAAGGUGCGGCUGGAUCACCUCCUUUCUAAGGA